rnacentral:rRNA from 1 species
UACGAAGGGGGCUAGCGUUGCUCGGAAUUACUGGGCGUAAAGGGCGCGUAGGCGGAUCGUUAAGUCAGAGGUGAAAUCCCAGGGCUCAACCCUGGAACUGCCUUUGAUACUGGCGAUCUUGAGUAUGAGAGAGGUAUGUGGAACUCCGAGUGUAGAGGUGAAAUUCGUAGAUAAUUCGGAAGAACACCAGUGGCGAAGGCGACAUACUGGCUCAUUACUGACGCUGAGGCGCGAAAGCGUGGGGGAGCAAACAGG